CUUUGCAUAAGAACAUUAACUCAAAAUUUGGUGAGAAACAUUAACAUUUAACUUUUUGCUUCCAGAUAGUGGUUACACCAGUUACCAGUAUGAUCUUGGUGGGAAGCAUGCAGGGGUGUGCAGGCCGGCAGGACUGAGUUGAGGAAUGUCCAGCGUGUCACAUUUCCGGGCUUCGAGAGCACGACUGCCGGAUUCCCUGAGCACCAGAUGCAAUUGCUAAUCACAUUUGCUCAGAUGGGGGAGGCCCUUCAUCUCAGCCUACAGGUCUUAAUUUCAGAAAUUUGCUUUCGGAGUGGAGAGAGAGGAUUGCUUUCCAAAUUGAAGGGAAUUAUGUUACAGGCAUUUGAUUGUAUGAGGAGGCAGAGUCCCAGAACAGGAAGGAAAUCUUCAGAAGUUUUUUAAUUCGAUGUGGACUCCAGAAGACACUCAGGACAGAUGGGCAGGAGCCUAAUCUCCGUGUUCAAUCUUUCUGUCUCCUCGAGUCAGUGAAAUCACUGGUUUAAAAACAUUGCUUAUUAGAAUAUAUGUUUAUUGUUAAAUAUUUGG